AUGGACAAGUGGAUGAAGGGUGGCUGCAUGAAUACACAGAUGCUGGACAAAUGGAUGGACGUCCUGGGCACAGAGCAAUCAACAGCUGCAAAGUUGCUGCUCCAGCCCGGCCCCCAAGAGGCAGGCCCCAGGUGCUGGCCCCACGGGUUUUGGUCUGAGUCUCAGUCAUGGUGGUAUAUCUUUGGCAGUGGGACCCAGCUCUCAGUCACAUGUCAGCCUGUGGUCACCCCCUUGGUCACUCUGUUUCUGCCCUCCUCAGAGGAGCUCAAGGCCACCCUGGUGUGUCUGAUCAGUGACUUCUACCCAGGCACAGUGACGGUAGCCUGGAAGGCAGAUGGAGUCACCAUCACCCAGGGUGUGGACACCACCCAGCCCUCCAAACAGCAACAAGUACAUGGCCAGAACGUCCUCAGCCUGUCACAUGGACAGUGGACAUCACAUAGCCGCUUCAUUUGCCAGGUCACCCAUGAGGGGAAAACCACGGAGAAGAGCGUGGCCCCUGCACACUGUCCUUAGGGACCAACUCUCAUCCACCUAUGGGGUCUGGAAGCUGCAGGACCCCAGGAAAGGGCUUCUCCUUCCACCCCUUCCCUGAUAUCCUGGCCCUCCCCACCCCUGCAUCCAAUAAACUCUCAAUAAACAUCUUCAUUGUC